rnacentral:rRNA from 1 species
UGUGUGUUAGUGGAAGCGUCUGGAAAGGCGCGCGAUACAGGGUGACAGCCCCGUACACAAAAAUGCACAUGCUGUGAGCUCGAUGAGUAGGGCGGGACACGUGGUAUCCUGUCUGAAUAUGGGGGGACCAUCCUCCAAGGCUAAAUACUCCUGACUGACCGAUAGUGAACCAGUACCGUGAGGGAAAGGCGAAAAGAACCCCGGCGAGGGGAGUGAAAAAGAACCUGAAACCGUGUACGUACAAGCAGUGGGAGCACGCUUAGGCGUGUGACUGCGUACCUUUUGUAUAAUGGGUCAGCGACUUAUAUUCUGUAGCAAGGUUAACCGAAUAGGGGAGCCGAAGGGAAACCGAGUCUUAACUGGGCGUUAAGUUGCAGGGUAUAGACCCGAAACCCGGUGAUCUAGCCAUGGGCAGGUUGAAGGUUGGGUAACACUAACUGGAGGACCGAACCGACUAAUGUUGAAAAAUUAGCGGAUGACUUGUGGCUGGGGGUGAAAGGCCAAUCAAACCGGGAGAUAGCUGGUUCUCCCCGAAAGCUAUUUAGGUAGCGCCUCGUGAAUUCAUCU